CUUCUCCCUCCCUGACACACGCACACACACACAAAUACAGACACACAUACAUACAGAGACACAUUCAUACAUACAGACACAGACACAUACAUACAGCCAGCCAGACACACACAAGACACACAUACAUACAAAGACACAUGCAUACAUACAAACAGACAGGCACACGUACAUACAUACAGACAGACAAACACACAGACACAUACUUACAGGCACACACACAGACACAUACAUACAUACAGACACAUACAUACAGACAGAUACACACACACACACACACACACACACACACACACACACAAGACACACAUACAAGAUACACAUACAUACAAAGACAUACAUAAAUACAAACAGACAGGCACACAUACAUUCAAACAAACACAUACACAGACAGACACACACACACACACACACAUACACACAAACACAAAAUGUUUAAGUCACCCUCCUGUUUCCUACCUUUUAGGAAACAACCUCAGGUUGAUGGGAGUCAGAGUUCCCACUCUGACUUCCUCCUCUGCUUCCUCUCGCGCGGGCUCUGUGUAUGCUGGGAUGAGUGACCAGGGCAGUCACUUUCUUCCAGCGUGUGAUGUUAUCACAGGGGGCCCAGUUGCGCUGUUAAAGCGCCCCAGCGCUGACCAGGCACCCUGAAAAUGCAUACCCAUCGGGUGUCCCUAACAGCAUGGGCCACCUGAUGGACCCCAAAACAUGACGGCGGUCACCCGGUCGCAGGGGUCCGCAGGGCGGCCGGGUCCCCUGGAGUGGCG